ensembl:lncRNA
UUAGUCAAAGGGCUACAAUGUGGCCCCUUUGAAGAGUCUGUUCACCAUGCGAUGUACUUUUCUUCUUCGCGCCCCCUCCGAGCAUCUCCCGCUUCACCCCUUGUUUGAUGUUUCUUGGACAUUUUGUUAAAAAAUAUAUAAAUAAAUAUGAAGACAACAGUACACAGACGCUUUUGAAAAACAGAGAAAUAGGACGAGCCUUUUUUGCGGACACACACAUGCAUUCUUGAAAACCUCCUCAGAGGAGCGAAAGUAAGAUAGCAGGGGAGGAAGAGAGAAUGAAAGAUGAGGACGAAGAGCAAAUACGAGAUUAAGAGGGAGAGAGAGAGAAAGAAAGAGAGCUGGAAAGAAUGAGAGAGAGAGAGAGACUCUCCUCCCUUCGGCAGCAGCGCUUGUGUCUCUUUCAUGUCCACCAUGCUUGGAUCUGAGGCUUCGUCUCCCAGCUGGGCCUGGUGUGCAUGUGUGCAGCUAAGUGCCGGCUAAUUUCCCCUUGGAUCUCCCGGCCGGAGCCUAGGAUUUCUCCCCCAACAACGCCACCCCACAAACACCACUGCCUCGGUCCCCUGUCCAUGUGAAGAGGAGAUGGGAAAGGGGCAGAUUUGGCAGCGAUGGGCGAACAGGAGCUCCUUCCAUAUAAUGAGAAUCCACUACGAAAAAGACACUGUGCAGUGCUCCGUUUCCAGGGAACAUAACAUGGGACCGCACUCUAGCAGCAGAACUUCUACGGCGCAUCUUUGAAAUGGGAAGAAGAAAGGUAACGGGAAAAAAGGAUGGAUCAGUGGUGUCUCUCACUUUGACUACAAAAGAGUGAAGGAGGAAAAACUUCAUUAUACGGGCGAGUGACAGAAAGUGUGGCGCACGACGACAGAGAGACACACAGAACGAGGGGGGCUUUUUUUCCUCUCUGCCCACCUCUGUUUCAUGUCUGUGUCGCUGAAAAAAACAAAGAAGGCAUCUCUGUGGACCGCUCUAUCCAGAGCACAGACACACACACACGACCCCGGAUCUCAUAAACAAUGCUACCAACGAUCAACUGUCAAUUUUAUUCAGCAUCUUACUCGGCCGUAAUCACAGCGUCGCCCAC